rnacentral:rRNA from 1 species
AUUGAACGCUGGCGGCAGGCCUAACACAUGCAAGUCGAGCGGAGCGGCGGACGGGUGAGUAAUGCCUAGGAAUCUGCCUGGUAGUGGGGGAUAACGUCCGGAAACGGGCGCUAAUACCGCAUUCUAUCAGAUGAGCCUAGGUCGGAUUAGCUAGUUGGUGGGGUAACGGCCUACCAAGGCGACGAUCCGUAACUGGUCUGAGAGGAUGAUCAGGCUCACGUGAACUGAGACACGGUACAGAGUCCUACGGGAGGCAGCAGUGGGGAAUAUUGGACAAUGAGCGAAAGCCUGAUCCAGCCAUGCCGCGUGUGUGAAGAAGGUCUUCGGGUUGUAAAGCACUUUAAGUUGGGAGGCGUUACCAACAGAAUAAGCACCGGCUAACUUCGUGCCAGCAGCCGCGGUAAUUC